rnacentral:rRNA from 1 species
UACGUAGGGGGCAAGCGUUGUCCGGAUUUAUUGGGCGUAAAGAGCGUGUGAGGCGGUUUGGUAGGUCCGCUGUGAAAACUCGAGGCUCAACCUCGAGACGCCGGUGGAAACCAUCAGGCUAGAGUCCGGAAGAGGAGAGUGGAAUUCCUGGUGUAGCGGUGAAAUGCGCAGAUAUCAGGAAGAACACCCGUGGCUAAGGCGGCUCUCUAGUACGGUACUGGACGCUGAGACGCGAAAGCGUGGGGAGCGAACAGG